UUUCCGUAGGUGAACCUGCGGAAGGAUCAUUAAUGAGUUGUCAUGGGGUUCGAUGCUGGCAGCCAGUUUUUGGAUGCAUGUGCUUGCCCUAACAAUCAUCUUCUUCCAAACACCUGUGCACAUUUUUGAGGGAGUCUUGAGUUGGUUGCCGCUCUUGGGUGAUUUUCUCACAUUCCCUUAAAUCAUUAUACGCUAUUAACAAUGUUGAACGUGCUCUGUGCCGCAAGGCCAUUAAUAUAAUACAACUUUUAACAACGGAGCGCUGGGCUCUCGCAUCGAGGAAGAACGCAGC
rnacentral:misc_RNA from 1 species